AUGUGCAGAGCCUGCAAAAGUGGCGGUAAUGCACCAUCUUGUACAAUCUGUUGCUGUGUCUCAAGGUCGCCCAUGGACGCGAUCGACCACAGGCAGAGAGCAGCAUUCUUCUGUGUGUCAGUGGUGCCGCUGGCAAGUAAAUCAACCAGAACUGGCAACCCACCCUCCUCAACCAACGCUGAGCGCACAUCGUCGAUCGAGACCACAUUCUUGAUAGCUGCUACAGCGAGCGUCUGCACAGCCAACGAACCAGAGCCAGGACGGCACGCAUUAAUCAAGAUGGAAACCCCUCCAUAUGCUGAUACAGCCCACGAGCUGCCGGCAUCGGCAGUGAUGGCCUCAAUGGCCACAACCGCACGCUCCCUCGUGGCCGGUGCCGAGGCAGAGUCAAGCACGCGCAACAGCGGGCCAAGGCCGCCCUCGUCGAAGACCGCUUUCCGGGAUGCACCGCAGGCAGUGGCAAGGAGGGCCACGACCGCUGCUGCGCGGUCCCUCAGCGCCGAGUGGGCCGAUGCGUCGAGCAUGCGGAGCAGCGCAGCCACAUCGCCAUCGGCGGCAACGAUGUUUGCGGCCUCAGCAGCAGGGUCAUUGCCCAGCAACUCCAGCAGCGAGGCGAGGGCCUUGAGCUUGAGGUCGAGGCCCCCGAUCUGGAGCCGCGCAAAGGCGUCCCUGAUGAAAAGCGACUUGUCGGAGCGGGAUGCGGCUGCCGCGGGCACCUGCAGCACAAUGGCGUUGGGGGAGGACGCCGACGAAUCGACGGAGAGGAGCCCCGAGCGAAGGAGCAGCGAGAGAUCGUGCAGGAGAAGCGUGAGCGAGGAAGCGGCGAUGUCGAGGUCGCUCUGGAGGCGCAGGCGCCCGCCGGGGAGGGCCGGGUCCUGGCAGCGCGCGGACAAUGCGUGGAGGGAGCGGAGGGCCGGGAGCAGCGAGGCCACCAGAUCGGCGAAGAGCGGGUGGCCGGCGGCCGGGGCGGGCGCGGAGACGAGCGAGGACUGGAGCGCGAGCAGCGUGGCGUGCAGCGCGCGCCAGCGGGAGUGGAGCGCGUUGGCGGACGCCGCGGCCAGGAGGAGCGGCGGGAGCAGCGCGUGCAGGAUCUGGGCGAGCGCGUCCGCGGCGGCCGGCGGCGGGGGCGAGGGCGAGGGCGAGGGCGGCGGCGUCAUGGGCGGCGGCGGGCGACGGUGGAGGAGGGGGAGUGGAGCAGGAGGAGGAGGGGAAAGCGAGGGAAAGAGCGGCGGCAGCACAUCACAUGGAGUGGUGGGGCGCGGAACGGACGGACGCGAUUUGCUUCCGCUGGAAGGAAAAGCUGUAAAGCGGAGGUUGGCUGGCAGCCGUUGCCGGGUGUCACGCGCGAGUCCCGCUUUGUUCACACAAGCCGGGAGGGCCCGCCGUACUCGCUUGGCAGCGGGGCGGUGA
rnacentral:rRNA from 1 species